rnacentral:rRNA from 1 species
AUACAUGCAAGUCGAGCGAGAAGUCACAUUACUAAUUCUUCGGAAGAAGUAAAGUGAUGGAAAGCGGCGGACGGGUGAGUAACGCGUAGGCAACCUGCCUCUCACAGGGGGAUAGCCAUCGGAAACGGUGAUUAAUACCCCAUAAAGUCAAAAUAACACAUGUUAAGCUGACCAAAGAUUUAUCGGUGAGAGAUGGGCCUGCGUCUGAUUAACUAGUUGGUGAGGUAACGGCUCACCAAGGUGACGAUCAGUAGCCGACCUGAGAGGGUGAACGGCCACAUUGGAACUGAGACACGGUCCAAACUUCUACGGAAGGCAGCAGUAGGGAAUCUUGCACAAUGGGCGAAAGCCUGAUGCAGCAACGCCGCGUGAAGGAAGAAGGCCUUAGGGUCGUAAACUUCUGUUCUUGGGGAAGAAAAAAAUGACGGUACCCAAGGAGGAAGCCCCGGCUAACUACGUGCCAGCAGCCGCGGUAAUACGUAGGGGGCAAGCGUUAUCCGGAAUUAUUGGGCGUAAAGCGUGCGUAGGUGGUAAUUUAAGCGCAAGGUUUAAACUAACGGCUCAACCGUUAAUUGCCAUGCGAACUGGGUUACUUGAGUGCUGGAGGGGAAAGCGGAAUUCCUAGUGUAGCGGUGAAAUGCGUAGAUAUUAGGAGGAACACCGGC